AUUGAACGCUGGCGGCAUGCCUUACACAUGCAAGUCGAACGACAGCACGGGUGCUUUCACCUUUUGACGAGUGGCGAACGGGUGAGAAAAACAUCGGAACAAGUCCUGUAGUGGGGUGUAGCCAGGCCAAAGCCGGAGUAAUAGCACACGCGAUCUUCGGAUAACACAUGGGGACCUUCGGGCCUCCCGCUAUAGGGUGGGGCGAUGAUUGAUCCGCUAGUUGGUGGGGUAAAGGCCUACCAAGGCGACGCUCAGUAACUGGUCUGAGAGGACGACCAGCCACACUGGGACUGAGACACGGCCCAGACUCCUACGGGAGGCAGCAGUGGGGAAUCUUCGCACAUGGGCGAAAGCCUGAUCCAGCAAUGCCGAGUGUGUGAAGACGGCCUUCGGGUUGUACAGCACUUUUGUCCGGAAAGAAAUCAUUGGCCCUAAUAAGGUCCGGGGAUGACGGUACCGGAAGAAUAAGCAACGGCUAACUACGUG
rnacentral:rRNA from 1 species